GCACGUGGACGAAGAUCGUCCCGUGCCGUCCACCCGAGGCAGUGCCGUACUCCUCGUGACCACGUACCAGCAGCGGUUGGAUCGGGGCCACAAGGCAGCAGCGGAAGGUGAGUUGAUGCGAACCAGUUUCGCGUUGACAGCUUAUAGCCCUGCUGUGAGGCGCUCCGGUGUGACCGAGGAAGCUGGGCAGCCCUUGCCCAUUAUGGCGCACGCCGAAUGGCGGGGCCUCCCGACAGGAGCGAACCGUGCGGCGUUGACUGCAUGCAGUGCUCACCGUUGCGGUGAACUCGUGCCGGAGAGUGCCACUCGUGUGCCAGUGCUGCUGGUAUUCAGAU
rnacentral:misc_RNA from 1 species